CCUACGGGAGGCAGCAGUGCGGAAUCUUCCGCAAUGGACGAAAGUCUGACGGAGCACAACCGCGUGAGGAAGAAGGGUUCGGCUUGUAAAACUUUGGAUGU
rnacentral:rRNA from 1 species